AAACUGUUCCUUUUCAGGGUUCCUGUCCAUAAAACUUCAUGACCAGUUUUCCUCCCCUGUUCUUAUCAAUUUGCCUGAAUAUUUUAAAAGGAAAAAAUGUACUAAUGUUUUAAAAAGUCUUACCAGAAGCCUUGAUAGCUGUUGACGGUCAGCUGUGCAAAGAAAGCCACUCACAACAUUUCAGAUCACGUCCAUCUGCUUAGGAAGUGCACUCACACGAACAAGGCAUUGCACCCUGCCUAGCCAGAGAUCUAACAUAUCAGCCUUCCUGAUAUAAGGGAAAUGUGAGAGGGCCCAAGGGGGCAGAAAACCAGAGGAUCACCAAAUAAUAUUUGAUCUCAUGCAUGGACAAGAUGUGAUGCUUGACCAACCAGAGGAACAGUGAACAAAAGUUCAUGGAGAGACUCUGAGACUGCAAAUGCUUACUGACUGAUCAGAGCUUCAGUGGAGUGGAGAGGCUGCACUAUUGAGAGUCCGGAUCCACAUUAUCUAAGGUCAUAUUUAACCCCCUUAGCAGCCACUUAUUGUCCACUUCUGAAUGUGCCAUAAUGCUCUUGUGAGUGUUAGGUAAAUCCUUUGGAAUAUACAAAUAGACCCUAGCUUCCACCAAUCCAAAAAUUCAGAGUGACAUCAUCCGAAAGUAUCUGAGGCCUUGAUCUGAGGUUAUCCCAUUUUGCUGAAACUCACCUACCUAAUGUAUAUACUCAUGUAUUUGAAAACUGUGGUGACUUAUGAACUUCUUUGUAACUGUAAAAACUUUAUAAAAUUGAUACCAUAUUGAAAUAUGAAAUUUGAGGUUAACUUCAAUCUCCCUGGGCCAUGAUCACAAAUAUUUGAGCCCUGAAAAAAACAACACAACCCCUUUGAUCUGUAUUUUGCAUCAACGGCUUGUCUUCUCUACUUUUCCCAGUGAGUGAGAUGCUAAUAGUAAGUGUGAGGUGUUGCAAUGGUAGGCUAUGUUUAAUGUUUGUGUAAUAUCUUAGGUUAGUUUAGAAAUAAAGGAAGGCCUAUUGUCACCUUGGAGAUAUCCUGGGAGACCAAUUAGGAAUGACUUCAUGUAUUAGAGUCUUGAGUAACUUCUGAGCCUUUUCAAUCUUGGCAUCCUAGGUUUCUAUUCAAUCCAUGAACAUUGGAAAGCAUUUUUCCUCAGGAAGGAGGCACGUGGGUAAAUGCUAACUUCCUAGCUUCUCCUACACAUGUCCCUCUCCUGGGUAUGGGGUAGUGACUUGACUCCACCUCCUGGGUUACCAUAGAGACAGAGGACACAAGCCCUGGUUGUACUACUCUUUUACUCUCGGAGCACAAGUGGGUAGAGUAGCUUGUGUUUCUCUUUCCAAGUUGCACAAGUGAUAAAGUCUCUUAAUAAUUGUC